rnacentral:rRNA from 1 species
GAUGAACGCUAGCGGGAGGCUUAACACAUGCAAGUCGAGGGGCAGCAUAGGGUAGCAAUACUCUGAUGGCGACCGGCAAACGGGUGAGUAACGCGUAUGCAACCUACCCUGUACAGGGGGAUAACCCGGAGAAAUUCGGACUAAUAUCCCGUAAUAAUAUCCGGAGGCAUCUUUGGAUAUUUAAAGUUCCGACGGUACGGGAUGGGCAUGCGUAACAUUAACUGGUUGGUAAGGUAACGGCUUACCAAGGCUAUGAUGUUUAGGGGUCCUGAGAGGGUGGUCCCCCACACUGGUACUGAGACACGGACCAGACUCCUACGGGAGGCAGCAGUGAGGAAUAUUGGUCAAUGGGCGCAAGCCUGAACCAGCCAUCCCGCGUGCAGGAAGACGGCCCUAUGGGUUGUAAACUGCUUUUCCAGGGAGAGAAACUUACGCACGUGUUGCGUGACUGACGGUACCCUGGGAAUAAGCAUCGGCUAACUCCGUGCCAGCAGCCGCGGUAAUACGUCUA